AUGUCCAACCAUCUGGCGGCACCUUCGACCGAGCUCCUCGACUUCGCUGGAAUGUUCCCGAGAUCUGUCAUUGACGUGCACUACUACACACUGUUCGACAACAAGUUUAGUACUUUCACUGUGCAGCAGAACAUUGAUUACGUGAGGAACACCAUUGCCAAUGAUCUCAGGACUCUCUCAAGGAGAAUUGGCGCUCUCACAUUUGUUGGUGAAUGGGUGGCUGAGUGGAAGGUAUCCGGUGCAACGAAGGAAGAUUACCAGAGGUUCGGGAAUGCACAAAUGGAUGUGUAUCGGCAAGCCACCUUUGGACGGGCUUAUUGGACCUACAAGAACGUUAACAACCACUGGAGUAUGGAGUGGAUGAGAAAGAAUGGAUAUAUCUCCUUAACAAAUGCUUGA
rnacentral:rRNA from 1 species